rnacentral:lncRNA from 1 species
AUACAUGGUUGAAUCCAGAACUUCAGAAUUAGGAACAAGUCUAUCAAUUGAAGAUGAAAUCAAAUGCAACUUAGAAUGAUUAGCGAAACAUGAUAACAUAUUAUGCAGCAUGUCUGAGUCAGGUACCAAACCCUCAUUAAUCAUAGUAUUGAAAAUUAAAGCACAAUCCUUUAUUUGAUUCCGUGCAAUCAUGCUUUUUAUCAGAAUGCAAUACGCUUCUGCAUCAAGAUUGCAGCCCUUAACCAGCAUUUGUGAGAGAAACACUAGAAGAUUUCUUCCUUCGUCUGUUUUGGAUAAGCCAAGCAUGAUAUUAUUGUAAGUUGCAUUGUCACAAGAAAUACCAGAAUCAAAAGCCAUCUGCAGUAGGCUGACAGCUUCAUUAACCAUUCCCUUGUUACAGAUACCCUUGACCAGCAAACUAAAUGAGAAUGACUGGAGGGGACAUCUAUUUGAAAACAUGUAGUGAAACACUUCGGUAGCCUCUAGAUACUUUUCUACCCUACAAAGUCCUUCAAUAAGAUCAGAGUAAGAUAGAGAAUCUAAAACCCAGGAUUUGGCUUGUAAUUGCAGGAAGAGUUGUAGAGCAUCUUCAAACUUGCUUAACCUACACAGACCAAUAACAAGAGCUGAAUAAGUGGCACAGUUGGGAACCAGUGAAGAUACGAUCAUCCUCCCAAGAAGUUCAUGUGCUUUCUUAACAUCUGCCUUCUUGCAAAGCCACCUGAUUAAGAUAUUCCAAGAAUCACAAUCAGCUACAGUUCUCUUAGACAUUUUCUCAAGCUGAUCUUUAGCCAGAAAAAAUCUACCAGCAUCACAACAACCUUCAAGCAACGCAUUGUGUGGAGAAGUUUCAAGUAUGAGUUUAUCUUCCAAGAACUUCACAGCCUUGUCAAUCUUUCCUAAUCUACAAAACCCAUUUACAAUGUCCACAAGAACAUUCUUAUCUGGUGUCAAACAAUUUUGAACCAUCUUGUCAAGAAGCGUUAACACAUCAUCUAACUGAAGGUUUUUGCACAAACAUUGUAUCAGAGCCUCAUAAAUAAAUGAAUUUGGAACCAAAUUAGAGGUUUGCAUCAUCCUAAACAACCUAAUUGCCUCUUCCAGUUUAUUUUCCCUGCAAAACAAAGGUAUUAUACAUGUAUAAAAAUUCAACUCUGGCAGACAGCCAACUUUUUGCAUCUCAUCCAAAAUAAUAAUGGCAUCAUCAACUUGUUUAUUCAAAAUAAGACCUUUAAUAACUAUCUCGAAAGUCUCCUUGAAAGAAGAAAUUGAGCGGUCGGUAUAAUCAAAAUGCCAAUUUUACGUUUUUCCCAGGCCCUCAGCAAGUAUGUCAAGAACAUUAUCUUUAAUGGUAAAGUUUUCAUAUGUCAACAUUUUCUCUCCACUUUCCACCCUAUCAACAGAUCCAAUCAACAAUCUAUGAGUAGUAGCAUCAGGGAUCCAACCCUUCUCCAACAUCAAAUCCAAUAAUUGACGGGCUCCAUUCUUAUUGCCCUCUUUCCAGAGACCUUUAACCAGCAUGUUAUACAUGGUUGAAUCCAGAACUUCAGAAUUAGGAACAAGUCUAUCAAUUGAAGAUGAAAUCAAAUGCAACUUAGAAUGAUUAGCGAAACAUGAUAACAUAUUAUGCAGCAUGUCUGAGUCAGGUACCAAACCCUCAUUAAUCAUAGUAUUGAAAAUUAAAGCACAAUCCUUUAUUUGAUUCCGUGCAAUCAUGCUUUUUAUCAGAAUGCAAUACGCUUCUGCAUCAAGAUUGCAGCCCUUAACCAG